rnacentral:tRNA from 1 species
GGCCAAGUGGUGGAAUUGGUAGACACGCGACACUCAGAAUGUCGUGCCAUCAGGCGUGGGAGUUCAAAUCUCCCCUUGGUCAC